GAUGAACGCUGGCGGCGUGCCUAAUACAUGCAAGUCGAGCGAACGGACGAGAAGCUUGCUGCUCUGAUGUUAGCGGCGGACGGGUGAGUAACACGUGGAUCACCUACCUAUAAGACUGGGAUAACUUCGGGAAACCGUAGCUAAUACCGGAUAAUAUUUUGAACCGCAUGGUUCAAAAGUGAAAGACGGUCUUGCUGUCACUUAUAGAUGGAUCCGCGCUGCAUUAGCUAGUUGGUAAGGUAACGGCUUACCAAGGCAACGAUGCAUAGCCGACCUGAGAGAGUGAUCGGCCACACUGGAGCUGAGACACGGUCCAGACUCCUACGGGAGGCAGCAGUAGGGAAUCUUCCGCAAUGGGCGAAAGCAUGACGGAGCAACGCCGCGUGAGUGAUGAAGGUCUUCGGAUCGUAAAACUGUGUUAUUAGGGAAGAACAUAUGUGUAAGUAACUGUGCACAUCUUGGCGGUACCUAAUCAGAAAGCCACGGCUAACUACGUG
rnacentral:rRNA from 1 species